rnacentral:misc_RNA from 1 species
AACGCACAUUGCGCCCCUCGGUAUUCCGUGGGGCAUACCUGUUCGAGCGUCAUUUCAACCCUCGGGUGGUCCUUUUGGUCUGUCUGGUAUUGGGUGGCGUCGAAAGACCUGCCUUAAAAGAAUUGGCAGGUAGGUGCCGGCUUCGAGCGUAGCAGAUGCGAUUCGCUUUGGAAGCUGGUGCUCACCUUGCCAGAUAAAUCUCUGAAUGGUUGACCUCGGAUCAGGUAGGGAUACCCGCUGAACUUAA